UACGUAGGGUGCAAGCGUUAUCCGGAAUUAUUGGGCGUAAAGAGCUCGUAGGCGGUUUGUCGCGUCUGCUGUGAAAUCCCCGAGCUCAACUUGGGAAUUGCAAUGGAUACUGGCAGGCUGGAGUAUGGUAGAGGAAGGUGGAAUUCCCGGUGUAGCAGUGAAAUGCGUAGAGAUCGGGAGGAACACCAGUGGCGAAGGCGGCCUUCUGGACCAAUACUGACGCUCAUGCACGAAAGCGUGGGGAGCAAACAGG
rnacentral:rRNA from 1 species